AAAAUAAUGAAAAUCAAACUCAGAAUGUAAAGGUAAGCACCACCCAUCUUAGUGUGGGUAAUGAAAAAAAUUAAUGCUUGCAAAAGUUUUCAGGUUUGUCUUGUAAAACAAAGUGAAAUAAAAGCAAAUUGAGAAGACUCUUGGACAUCGAAUCCUUUCGAAUGCAUAUAAAUUCGGACGAAUUUGGAAAAUUUGGAAAAUUGAUAACAAUAACAUAUAUCUCAAAAAAGCAUAGCCAAUAUUCAUGCAACGCCACAAGCCAAAUAAUUUCGUUCAGGACUCAUUACACAGGCAAAAACUAUCACGAAGUUCACCUGAUUGAAAGGUGGCUGCGGUGCAGUGACACUGGGUUGUUGUUGCUGCAACUGAACAGCUGCCUGUUGUUGCUGUUGUUGUUGAAGUUUGAGUAGGCUGGCACUGGCGACGGUACCACUCAUACCACCGGUGGCGCCGACACUAGGCAUUCCGGCCCCCUGUAUUCAAUACGAACACCCUAUACCCCUUGCCCUUCCUAAGCUCUCCUCUCC
rnacentral:misc_RNA from 1 species